CGUUCUCUCUCCGCGCGAUGCGCGGAAAAAUGUGUUGAUAGUCGAAUUUUGAUUAUAAGUUUCAAUAUUUUUGUUUGAAAUGGAAGCAUCGUAUGUUCCAAAAUGUCCAAAAAAUUAGUGAAUAUUGAGUUUACGCAAUUGUUUAAAAGCUAACAGAGUAGCAAAGUAAAAUAAAUAAUGUAAGAAACAGAUUAAGUCUUUCGCAGAUCAGAAGUUGUGUUGAGGUUCAUAAAAAAGAAAUGACCUGAAAUUGGAUAAGAAUAAGUUAGUUAGUAUAAAUUUAGGUAAAUACAAUAGUAUUGUUAUUUAUAUAAAAAGGUUUGUACCUGGCUUAGCUGGGAAAAAACCUAUGUGUAAGUCCUUUCUUUAUUGGAUUGUAUCAUCACUUGGUUGAUAUGUCGGGCAUUGUUGGACCAGAGUUUAUUGUAUUACUCUUUGUAUAUACUAUAAAAUAUUUUCUUUUAGAGUAAAAAAGUCUAUCAACUCAAUACUUCUUCUGGAAAAAACAUACAUCAGGAUUCUACUUUUUGGGAAAAAAAUUUAGCAGAUCUUACUUAAAAACAAAAAUUUAAAAAUUUAAAAAUUAACAAAUUAACUUUUACCAAAUGAUAAGGAAAUGAGACAAACAUAAAUAUUUAGCAUAUACAUGAAUAUAAGAAAUCACCUUUAAAACAAAUAAGUUAAAGGUAUUCUGCUUUAAAUCGACCAUUUCGUCAUCAAUAUGCUAAAAGUAAUAUUUUAUAAUAAAUAUUAUUAUUUUAUAAUAAUUUUGGAUUUUGUACUUAUUUUUAGUUUAAUUUAAUUUAUUCGAAUCAAAAUUAGAAUAAAAAAUUGGAUAUUCGAAUACCUAAUAUCCAAAUAGAUACAUCGUGGAUUGGAUAUAAUUAUUAUAAUCUCGACGAUAUAUAUCAGAUCACAAAUACUUUUAAAACCCCAAAUAUCCAUCUUCUCAAAUAUUUUUCUCUUACACGACUUUUUUCUUGACAUGAUCGGUUCUUCUGAAUUUGUAAGAAUAAAAUAAUUAAUGAGUUAAGUGUUAGUAAGGGCUGCUAUUCUAAAAUUUGUGAGUUUUUAUUUUAAUAUAUAUACGCAUACAUAUAUUGAAACUGGUUAUAUUGUAAAGCAAAUUUAAAAUCAUUAGAAAAGAUAUUAUCAUAUUUUAUAAUCAAAAUUAUAUACAGAAUUGUGAGUAAGAUGAAAAAAUAAUUAACCAUUAUUAAACUUACAACUUAAUUUUUUUUAAAAAAAAUUCACAUUUUUUUCUUUUAUCUAAAGAAGAAAGUACCAACUCCGUAUUUUGUAUAUUUUAAUUGACUAAAUAGAUUAAUUGAUGUAGUUAACUUUACGGUUAUGCAGCCUUUGUUAAAUAUAGAUAUAAUAUUACAUUAUAUUCCUAACAUAUAUAUAUAUAUAUAUAUAUAUUACAGCAUUUUGGAUUUGACUUUAUUAUUUAAUUGUUCUCAUUUUUGUCAUAUAAUUUAAUUUUUCUAAAAUAUCAUUCAUAUCUAUUCAACUUAUAUUUUGUUCCUUAGUUUUCAUAGCUUUCAAACUCCAAAUUGUUCUAUACUAUAUAUGAUAUAAAUGACAUGAAUCAUAUUAUAUUCUAACUCAUAAAAAUUUUAGUCGCUCAGCUAGAGAAAGUUCACUGGGAGGAGAAAAAUUAUGAUGAAAAAAGGACAUGUAACUGUUCUGCUAUUGUGUUAGAAAAAAAUAAAGGAAAAAAAAUUCCUGCUAGUAACAAAGCACAAGACUAUAUCAGUCAGAAAGUUACAACAUCAUCCUAUAAAAUUUUAAGGAUCAGAGGUAGUUUCUCCCAGCCGGCAUAUCCCGGAGCAAGCCCAAUAUCCUCUUUAUCAAGACUGACCAUCCUUAUUCAGUUAGAUCACAAUUCCACUGGAUUUCACAUCUUGUAAACCUUGUAAAGAUUUCCUCCUACGAAAUUAAUCUUUUAGCUCAUGGAUGACUAUGCAGUUUCUUUUGUUUUUGUAUGCAUUUUACUGAUUUCCUCUUUAUCUGCUGACAUCAAGCUGAAAGUCGUAUGAUCUAAAACAUGGAGAAUAUAAAUGUCAAUAACAAACUACACAAAAGAGAAUGUGACGUAGAAGAUUUAAUUUGUUUGAACCAACUUAAACAGAUUAAGCACAAAUUUAAUGCAAGGAAAACAUUUCAAGGAUUUAUGCAACCAAACUAACUAUAUUGACUACAUCUCAAGAUAUACGGGGACUUUUCACAAAGUAGCACUUGGAAACACACAUAAAUCAGGAAAUCAUCAGACUGAAAAAGUGCAAACCUGGAGGAGCCGUUCUUCUUCAUUGGUUGCUAAAUCAAAAAUGGCAACUUCUAUGGUCUCUCCGCUCAAUUUGCCACCCCGUUUACAUUAUAGUUACAUUAUAUUACUAUCUUAAUAUAAAACUUUUUGAACUUAUAUACGUUCUUUGUCUUCAGACCAAUCUCUUUACCUUAAUCCACUGCACGUCCGAGACUUUUCUCUGGAUUCGUUAGCAUAAUCAAAACUCCAAGUGCAUGUAAUUUGGAAGUUUAUCAAAGCUGGCAUAGUCACUAUAAGGUUAUAAGCUUUACCUGCAGCCACAAUCGCAAAAUCGAAGCUGGCAUUGUCUACGAUGGCUCAAUAUCAAAAUAUGGAAGAUAUGGAAAAUCAAGAAAGAUGUUUCUCGGAUUUAUGGCUACAGAGUGUUCUUCAUCGACAAAACUCUAAUAGUUUCCAAACAUAUAGAAAAGGGGAAACGCAAAAAAGUAUAUUAGUCUUAAAAGGGUACUCACACCGAGUUGAGCCAUUGUAGACUAUAACAGUGCCAAUAUAAUAAAAUGCACUGUUAUGCAGAAAAAAGAGUAGCUUACAGAAGCAAAAAAAAAAGUUUCUUCUGUGUAAUUGUCCAAUACAUCGACCAAGCUACUGAGCGCUACGCUUGCAAAAAGAAAAGAUAAUUAGCCAAUGCCCCCGGUAAUUGGGAUAAGGCAACUGAACAUCUCUAUUUGGCAAAACUUGUUUAGAGUUUUACCUAUCAUCUUUCCAAUAAGAGUGGUGAUCCAACUCAGGUACAACUAAAGUAGCAUUAAGAAUCCGUGCAACAACCACUGCAUCUGUUAUCUGAUCA